CCUACGGGUGGCAGCAGUCGAGAAUCAUUCACAGUGGGGGAAACCCUGAUGGUGCGACGCCGCGUGGGGGAAUGAAGGUCUUCGGAUUGUAAACCCCUGUCAUGUGGGAGCAAAUUAAAAAGAUAGUACCACAAGAGGAAGAGACGGCUAACUCUGUGCCAGCAGCCGCGGUAAUACAGAGGUCUCAAGCGUUGUUCGGAAUCACUGGGCGUAAAGCGUGCGUAGGCUGUUUCGUAAGUCGUGUGUGAAAGGCGCGGGCUCAACCCGCGGACGGCACAUGAUACUGCGAGACUAGAGUAGUGGAGGGGGAACCGGAAUUCUCGGUGUAGCAGUGAAAUGUGUAGAUAUCGAGAGGAACACUCGUGGCGAAGGCGGGUUCCUGGACAUUAACUGACGCUGAGGCACGAAGGCCAGGGGAGCGAAAGGGAUUAGAUACCCUGGUAGUC
rnacentral:rRNA from 1 species